AAAAGGCCGGCAGUGAUUGCCAGCCUUUCGAUUUUGGAAUUAGCGGCUUUACCACGCGGUCGUGAUCGUUCCGUUGAAUUUCUUUUCUGUGGAGUCCUUGACCGCAGGGGAGCGAUAGAGUUCGACGAACCGCUUGAGGGGGGGGUGUCCUUGUUCUUGGCGCGCACCGCAAAUACCAGAUUCCAGUUGGUAUCCGCACCCUCAAGAAGGAGCGCCUUCUUCGGAUCGAGUCCGGCAUUGAGGGCAUAGUUAAGAUUGACUGCCGAG
rnacentral:misc_RNA from 1 species